AAAAAAUAGAGACAGAAGAACAACAAGAGGAGAGAAAGAGAGACAAGAAGAAGAUAGACAGAAACAGAAUCAAAUUGACAUGGAGAAGGAGGGAAGAGAGAGGGAGAACAAGAGACAGAGAGAGAGAUAUAAGAGAGAGAAUAUGAUUAUGAGAGAGAGGGAGGAAGUGAGAAGAAGAGAGGAGGAGCAGAGAACAAGUUGAAAUUGAGUGACGGGAAGGGGGAGAAGAAAAGCAGAAACGGAUCGUGGAAGCAGAGGAGGAGGAAAGAGAAAGAGAGGAGGCACAGCAAGAGAGGGACGGAGAGGUCUAUCUUUGUCACUCACCAUCUCUCUCUUUGUCACUUUCUGAGGGAGAUGAAGUCAAACAGAAGACAAUAAGCAUGGACAAUUAUGGAAUUAAAAUAGAAGAUUUAAAAGAAAAGAAACGGCUCAAUAGGCUUAAAGAGAGGAGGCUAGAAAUAUUGUAGGGGGAAAGAGAACGGAUAGAAAAAGAACAACAAAUCAGCAGGAAGAAAGACUGUUAGCGAUGGACAGACAGCUGGAGAGGGUACAACAACAAGAAGCGCAGGAUAAAAACUACAGAUCUAAGAGGGUACGACGACAAGAAGAGCAGGAUAAAAAACAUGAGAUUGAAACUGACAGAGGAGAGGCAAAUGAGGAAGAGAGAGAGCUUUAAUCAGAGAAAGAAAGCAAUUGAAGGCCACACAGCUAUAAUCAGAGAAAGAGAGAAGAUGACAGAGGCAAAAAAGAGGCAGGAGAUGGCAGAAGAGGAAAGAAGGAAGAUUGAGAAUUACAAGAGGGGUGAGUUAGAGAAGCCUGAAGAGGAGGAGAAGAACCCUGAAGAGAAGGAGGACGACAAGGAGGACCUCUCCCCAGCCAAUAAAAGUAUCAGAAGGAAAGCACUGGGUGAAUAGGAAGUGGGAGAAGAGGAACCUCAAAAAGACAGAGAAUGUAUCAGAGAGAGGAGGAGGGCUAUGAGAUCAUCAACAUAGGUGGUGAAGGACGUUAUCGCUUCAGUGGUACCAGGGAUGACUGGAAGCUAUGUGGCCUUCAAUGGCUCUCUUUCUCUCCUCCUCUCUCUCUUCCUGCUUCGCCUCUCUAAGUCUGUCAGUUUCUUUAUGUUUUGCAAUUUUGAUCUGUUGUUUUUUUAUCCUGG
rnacentral:lncRNA from 1 species